ensembl:lncRNA
GUGAAAGCCUAGACUGGCAACACUGCUGCGCGGCCUCCACCCGGGACGCCCAGUGUGCGGGCAAUUGGCCUCGAGCCGGAGGACCCACGGAAACCUUUCUUUGGAUUUCAGUCUUCUGGUGAUCUGGGUUAAUCUUCAGGCUCCUUUUCUUAAAAUCUGCCACCUCAUUGCUCUGGUGUCUGCCUGGUUUUGAGUAGGAUGAGGCAGGGGGCGCCCGCAUCUUCCUCCCCCCUGCGGAGAAUGACGCCACCCUGCAAUCUGUGACGUCUCCAGCUCUCUUAGACCUGUUCUACUUCUAACAGAAACAGAAGUAUAUCACUCUAUAUCACUCGUCUGAACAGAAACACUACACAAGUUUUCUUCCUCCUUCCGUAAAGUACUAGGCAUUCUAACAGACAAAUAUUUGAAGUCAGAUGAUUAGACUCAGCUUAGGACAUUCCUUGUAAAAGGUGCUCCAAGGUAAAGACAAAGCAGUGCAUUGAGAAGCUUCCUUUUCCCAGCUCGUUUUGCCACUGACUCAACAAGCACUUGUUGAUAAACAGCAACCCAGAAACUGCCACACUUCUGCAAGCAAAAUAAAUAGACUUCAGAUAAAACACUGCAGUUGAGUGCUUGAAGCCUGUCCCCAGGAGUAAGGAGAACUCUAAAAUGACAGCCCUUGUUAACCACAUCUGCCAUUGGCCUUUUCUGCUCUCCUGCCAGGGGCAGAAGUUGCAGGGUUUUGCUGCUGCCUCUGCCAUCCAGGAGGUAGGGAACUUCCUGCAGGACACUGCAGAGAUCCUGUGGCUGUGCUGACCCUGGCUGAGUGCUCUUUGAGGAUCUGGGUCUUUAUGUGGAGUCUCCUGAUGCUGGAGGACAGUUAAGAGAUCUAAGCAGGGCUAGCAUUGCUGGAGGCGCCCUGGCAUCCAUCCAUCCUCAUCCACAUGUUUCAAUUCCUUCUUCAUCUGAAUUCUCAAACCUUCGCUCUUUGGAACCACGGUAAACACUUCCUUUCUGUUGGUGUAUCAGUACUUCGAUUGUCCCAAAGGGGAAAAUAUCUAUGUGAUGUGAUUCUCAUUAAGGUUUUUGUCUGGGGAUUUAGCUCAGCAGCAUAGCACUAUCCUGAGUUCGAUCCUUGGUACAAAAAAAAAACCAAGUUUUUAUUUUUGUUUUGUCUUGUUGUACUGAUAAUUGAUUGAACGCAGGGCCUUCACACCAAGCUACAUCUCCAGC